UAUUAUUGCUAAAAGCGUUAUCUGGACUUCUAACAUUCAUUUGCAGAAAUGGUUACAUAGUCGGCAUUAAUCAGAUAUAUGAUGUUGGUAUUGACAAGUAAGGGUUGGAAAUGAAUUUUAUUUUGGAUACUUGAAUUUUUAUUAGAUACCCCAUAAAGUAUUUUAGUUUUGUUUGUUUCUACGUGGUUUUGAUUGAUUUUCAAAGUUUAAGUCUGCCAAAGGUUGCUUAGAAUUAAUAUUGUGAAUCUUGAUAAUUGGAAUGAAUCUGUUGAAUAUAGUGUCGCAAUAAAUUAUUUAUCCAAGUGUUUCUUGUUCUUUAUAGAAUUGGCUCAUAUCCAAUAAAUUAUAUGCCCAAGUGUUCUUUAUACUUCGUAUGAUUAAUUUAUAGCCCUGCUUUUAGGGGCUUUCAUUUUUUUACUAACACGUGCUUGAGUAUUCUUAUAGCACAUGCGAAUAUGUAAUAUAAAGAAAAGUAUUAAGAGUGAUACAGAUGUGCAAAGAGAUUAAGGUGAAUAUGUCGAAAGUUAUGAAUAUAAUCCACAAAAAAUGUGGUGAUUCAGGUACUUCGCUGAAAUUUGUCUACGUGUAUAAGCAUGAUUAAGAAAUAUUAUACUCCCUCCGUCAGCCAAAAGUGGAUCAUUUUUACUAUAUCAGGCGUCCGCAAAGAGUAUGUCACUUUCCUUUUAUAGAAAUGGUCCCGCCAUCCACUUUAAUCUUUUAUCCUUACAAACACUCUUUAUUUACAAAAAAAUCACCCCAAAUUCAAUCUCAACCACACAUCUCAUAAAGUGGUGGGACCCUUUCUCCACUAUAUCAAAAUUAUCACCAAUUUUAUUAAAUCCCGUGCCCAGCCAAAGUGGUCCACUUUUGACGGACGGAGGGAGUAUCUCCUUAUGUGAGCAAGAUCAUGAUUUAUAUAAUCUUCGAUUACAUUUAUGAAAUAAUAAUGUUAUUUUGUGAAGCUGCACACCUUCUGCAUAUGUGCACAUAUCUGAAAUGAAAUGUGAUGUGUCAGAUCAGAAUUAUGAAUUUACUUUAAUAAGAAGCUGCACAACUUCUGCAUAUGCGCUAAGAUAUAAAAUGCAAAUUGAAUUUGUCUUCUUUUAUGAUUAUAUGGUGUCAGCUGUGCAUGAUGGUGAACUAUGCAAAAGUAUUCUUUGUUAAAUUUGAAAACUGAGAAUCAGACUUAAAAAAUAUGUUCUUGAAUAAGCACUCACAUAUAUCAGGGGACUAGGGGUGUAUACCCCUCCGUAUCCUAUUUUAUGGAACAAAAAAGGAUAAAUUUUGUAAGCAAUUUUUUUCACAAAAUUAACAAGGUUUCAUUUCUCUAGCUCUGACUGUUAGUCUUCUACUUUGAAAAGCUUUUCCUCGCAGAAGCAUUUCUCAAUGCCCGAAAGGGAUCAGACCCCGUUCUACUUAAAAGCUGGCUUCGCAGAGCAGCUUACGGUCAAUGCCCGAAAGGGAUUAGACCCCGUUCCACUUUGUAAAGCUUGCCCUCGCGGAGGCUUAAGGUUAAUGCCCAAAAGGGAUCAAACCCGUGUUCCAACUUUGAAAAGGUUAGCUAUGCCAAAGUUCAAGAAAAAUUUAGCUUCGAUUGAGCUCAAUGUCCAAACUACAAAGAUAAGACUAGCUUUAAGCAAGCUUAAUUCUCAAACUGCAAAGGUAAAAGCUGCUCUGAAUGGCUUCCGCUCUACAUAUGUUAUAUUUACUCUUUUAAGAUGUUAUGUGAUACAGAUCAUUAUGUAGUUAUAGUUAAUUAGUAUAUUUUUUCUUUAAUUUAUUUAGUUAUUUAGGCUUAAGUUAUUUAGAGCUAGAAUAAAGUAAUGGGUCGAGCUUUUGUGUGGGCUCCAAGAUAUUUCUUAGCUAAGUUAUUCUGGACAGCUUUCGCUGCAUGCCUCGCAAGAGGAGUUCGAGACAGCAUUCUCGCUGUAGACCUUGCAAGAGGAGCUAAGAUCAAUAAGUGCAGGUUCAAUAAGAUCAAGACAUGAAUAUAUAGCCAAAAACAGCUAUGUGAGAGCUAUCCUUACUUCUUUACGUUUCAAUAUUGAAUAUAUAAUGAAUGAGUAUUCUCAUCUUUUCAAAUGUUCG
rnacentral:lncRNA from 1 species